CUCAGAUUGCCAAGAUGAAAUUCUUGAAAGAAAGUGAUAAAUGCUCAAAAUUCUUUCAUGAUCUUGUCAAGAGUAACAGAAGUAAAAGCCAGAUAGUUUCCCUGACCCCCUCGGAUGGGUCCAGUCAACCUCUCUCCAACAGGUUAGUAAUGCUUUUUUGGAUUUUUACAAGGGUCUCCUUGGUUCAAACUUCCCCUGUACCCAACUAGACAAUUUUAUCCUAUUGGAUGGUGAGCAGGUAAAUGAGGCUCAGGCUAUGGAUCUGAUAAGAGCUGUCUCUGAUGAGGAAAUAAAUGGGGCCCUAUUCAGCAUUGAGGAUGAUAAAUCUCCAGACCCGGAUGGAUUCUCUGCUUAUUUC
rnacentral:lncRNA from 1 species